rnacentral:misc_RNA from 1 species
UUGAGAUUCAUUGUUAAAGAGGUAGUCUUGCCCUCAUCUUCUCUUUAUGAGCUUUUUUUGUGGUUCUUAUUUUGGAAUUCAACUAGGAAAUUAACUGUGAUUUGAUCUGUUGAAGUUAUUUUGGGCACAUAUUUAUAAAGGGAACAUAAAAUAUUGUGCUUAAGCUGGCUUGCUAAAAACUUUCAAGGAGUUGUUACUGGUACAGAAAGGUCAAUUAAAAUAUGGAUUUUCAUUUCUUGGUUGGGGGCUUUACUCCAGGUUGAUCCAACUACUGGCGAAG